UACGUAGGGGGCAAGCGUUAUCCGGAAUUACUGGGUGUAAAGGGUGCGUAGGCGGUAAUGUAAGUCAGGUGUGAAAGCCCGAAGCUCAACUUCGGGACUGCACUUGAAACUACAUAACUAGAGUACAGGAGAGGUGAGUGGAAUUCCUAGUGUAGCGGUGAAAUGCGUAGAUAUUAGGAGGAACACCAGUGGCGAAGGCGACUCACUGGACUGUAACUGACGCUGAGGCACGAAAGCGUGGGGAGCGAACAGG
rnacentral:rRNA from 1 species